AUUGAACGCUGGCGGCAGGCCUAACACAUGCAAGUCGAACGCGUGGCGGACGGGUGAGUCAUGUCUGGAAAACUGCCUUGUGGAGGGGUAUAACCACUGGAAACGGUCGCUAAUCCCGCAUUCCAUCCGAUGUCCCCGGAUGGGAUUAGCUAGUGGGUGGGGUAACGGCGCCCCAAGGCGACGAUCCCUAGCUGGUCUGAGAGGAUGACCAGCCACACUGGAACUGAGACACGGUCCAGACUCCUACGGGAGGCAGCAGUGGGGAAUAUUGCACAAUGGGCGCAAGCCUGAUGCAGCCAUGCCGCGUGUAUGAAGAAGGCCUUCGGGUUGUAAAGUACUUUCAGCGGGGAGGCGUUACCCGCAGAAGAAGCACCGGCUAACUCCGUGCCAGCAGCCGCGGUAAUUC
rnacentral:rRNA from 1 species